rnacentral:lncRNA from 1 species
AUGGAGAGGGUGCGGCCAGCCGCAGGUGAGUGGAGUUGCCACAUCAGCAGGGCAAACCCCGCCCCAUCCCCUCCCCCAGCUCCGGAGGGAGGCCCCCGAGGCCCCAGAGGAUGGUGGGAAGUGGGUGGAGAGAGAGUUCAGCCCGGUUGGCUGGAGGGGGUGGUGGUGGCUGCACCGGUGGGUUGGGGAGACUGUGUGAGUGUACCUGGCCGUGCUAUAUCUGACCGAACAUCCGUGAAUGUUCCAGAGUCCUACAGGCGUGUGCAUACAAGUAGCCUUCUGUGAUCAGAGAAGGAGCCCUAACAUUAGCUCAGCAGUUGUACCUCCAAUUGACAAAUGAGAACGUGGGCUCAAAGUACCGCAGUGACCACAGCAGUUCCCAUGGUAGGCACGUGCAUUUGAUCCCAUGACUUCUACCACUCAGGGUAAGACCCCUGGCCUCCUCCCCAUCAGUGGUCCCAGUCCAGGGCUCAGGAAAGGAGGAAGGGCUUGGCUAUUCCUGUGUUGUCAUUUCAUUCACUCCAGUCUUGCUCAGAGGUGAGACAGCUUGCCCAGGUCACAGUCGGGGAGUAGCUGAGGCAGGAUUUGAACCCCAGUCUCUUGAGCUCCGGAGCUCAUGCUUAUAGGGGCUGGGUUGAGGGGUGGGGGGUUAGUCUGGGGCUGACUGGCCACUGGUCCCAGAGAAAAAGGCAUAAAGGUGAUGAGGUAAGAGUAGAAAUGAGGAAAGGUGGCUCAAGGCAGUUCCCAUGGGGCGUCAUACCCAGAACGGAGGUGAUACAGACUCACGUGUGCCCCAGGGUCUGGCGGACUUGCUGUUCUAACCGAAGCCCGGCUUCCUUUCUGGGGGCCCCCUCCCAUGGACUGAGGCACUGGGUUGAGGGAAAAUGUGACUAAGGAGCCACAUGGAACAAUCUCUGUGCUAGCUGGUCACAAGUUUUUUGUUUGUUUUAAUUUUUAUUCUCUCUAUUUUUAAAUUUAUUUUUUAUUGAUGGAUAAUUGCUUUACAUAUUCUAUAUUAAAGUAUAGUUGAUUAACAAUUUUGUGUUAGUUUCAAGUGUACAGAAAAAUGAUUCAAUUAUACAUAUACAUGUAUCUUUUUUUUUUUCAAAUUCUUUUCCCUGUAAGGUUAUUACAGAAUAUUGAGCAGAGUUCUCUGUGCUAUGAGGUCCCAAGUUUUGAAAUUCCACCGUUCCACCGUUCGUCUGACCUAUGUCCCCUGGAGGCCUCCUUUUUUAGAUCAGAACCCUAGACUCUGGGGGAAGUGUCUGGAGCCGCCUCCCAGCCUAAGGGAGUCUGAUUGGAGUGAGGGUCUCAUAUUGAUGGAAGUCCUG